AUGAAGAACGUAGCGAAAUGCGAUACGUAAUGUGAAUUGCAGAAUUCAGUGAAUCAUCGAGUCUUUGAACGCACAUUGCGCCCUCUGGUAUUCCGGAGGGCAUGCCUGUCCGAGCGUCAUUGCUGCCCUCAAGCACGGCUUGUGUGUUGGGCCCCGCCCCCCGAUCCCGGGGGGCGGGCCCGAAAGGCAGCGGCGGCACCGCGUCCGGUCCUCGAGCGUAUGGGGCUUUGUCACCCGCUCUGUAGGCCCGGCCGGCGCCUGCCGAUCAACCAAACUUUUUUCCAGGUUGACCUCGGAUCAGGUAGGGAUACCCGCUGAACUUAAGCAUAUCAAUAAGCGGAGGA
rnacentral:misc_RNA from 1 species